AUUGAACGCUGGCGGCAUGCUUUACACAUGCAAGUCGAACGGUAACAGGCCGCAAGGUGCUGACGAGUGGCGAACGGGUGAGUAAUGCAUCGGAACGUGCCCAGUCGUGGGGGAUAACGCAGCGAAAGCUGCGCUAAUACCGCAUACGAUCUAUGGAUGAAAGCGGGGGACCGAAAGGCCUCGCGCGAUUGGAGCGGCCGAUGUCAGAUUAGGUAGUUGGUGGGGUAAAGGCUCACCAAGCCAACGAUCUGUAGCUGGUCUGAGAGGACGACCAGCCACACUGGGACUGAGACACGGCCCAGACUCCUACGGGAGGCAGCAGUGGGGAAUUUUGGACAAUGGGCGCAAGCCUGAUCCAGCAAUGCCGCGUGCAGGAAGAAGGCCUUCGGGUUGUAAACUGCUUUUGUACGGAACGAAACGGUCCGGGUUAAUACCCUGGGCUAAUGACGGUACCGUAAAAAUAAGCACCGGCUAACUACGUGCCAGCCGCCGCAGUAACAC
rnacentral:rRNA from 1 species